GAUAAACGCUGGCGGCGUACAUAAGACAUGCAAGUCGAACGGCAGAAGUUGGAAGUUUUUAACAUUCAAUGGAAACCGUGGCGGACGGGUGAGUAACACGUAAAUAACCUGCCUACAAGAGGGGGAUAACGGAGAGAAAUUUCUGAUAAUACCGCAUAAGCUAGAAAUACCGCAUGGUAUAGCUAGAAAAGAUUUAUCGCUUGUAGAUGGAUUUGCGUCUGAUUAGCUAGUUGGUGAGAUAAUAGCCCACCAAGGCGACGAUCAGUAGCCGGAUUGAGAGGUUGAACGGCCACACUGGUACUGAGACACGGACCAGACUCCUACGGGAGGCAGCAGUGAGGAAUAUUGGUCAAUGGGCGAGAGCCUGAACCAGCCAAGUCGCGUGAAGGAUGACUGUCCUAUGGAUUGUAAACUUCUUUUAUACGGGAAUAACAAGAGUCACGUGUGACUCCCUGCAUGUACCGUAUGAAUAAGCAUCGGCUAACUCCGUGCCAGCAGCCGCGGUAAUACGGAGGAUGCGAGCGUUAUCCGGAUUUAUUGGGUUUAAAGGGUGCGUAGGCGGCCUGUUAAGUCAGCGGUGAAAUCUAGGAGCUUAACUCCUAAAUUGCCAUUGAUACUGGCGGGCUUGAGUGUAGAUGAGGUAGGCGGAAUGCGUGGUGUAGCGGUGGAAUGCAUAGAUAUCACGCAGAACUCCGAUUGCGAAGGCAGCUUACUAAGGUACAACUGACGCUGAAGCACGAAAGCGUGGGUAUCAAACAGGAUUAGAUACCCUGGUAGUCCACGCAGUAAACGAUGAUAACUGGGCGUAUGCGAUAUACAGUAUGCUCCUAAGCGAAAACGUUAAGUUAUCCACCUGGGGAGUACGCCGGCAACGGUGAAACUCAAAGGAAUUGACGGGGGCCCGCACAAGCGGAGGAACAUGUGGUUUAAUUCGAUGAUACGCGAGGAACCUUACCCGGGAUUGAAAUGUAGAUGACCGCUCCUGAAAGGGAGUUUUCCUUCGGGACAUCUAUGUAGGUGCUGCAUGGUUGUCGUCAGCUCGUGCCGUGAGGUGUCGGCUUAAGUGCCAUAACGAGCGCAACCCCUGUCUACGGUUGCCAUCAGGUAAUGCUGGGAACUCCGUAGAGACUGCCGUCGUAAGGCGUGAGGAAGGUGGGGAUGACGUCAAAUCAGCACGGCCCUUACAUCCGGGGCGACACACGUGUUACAAUGGUAAGGACAAAGGGCAGCUACCUGGCGACAGGAUGCGAAUCUCUAAACCUUAUCACAGUUCGGAUCGGAGUCUGCAACUCGACUCCGUGAAGCUGGAUUCGCUAGUAAUCGCGCAUCAGCCAUGGCGCGGUGAAUACGUUCCCGGGCCU
rnacentral:rRNA from 1 species